rnacentral:rRNA from 1 species
CCUACGGGAGGCAGCAGUAGGGAAUCUUCCACAAUGGGCGAAAGCCUGAUGGAGCAACGCCGCGUGAAGGAAGAAGGUCUUCGGAUCGUAAAACCCUGUUGUUAGAGAAGAAAAUGCAUGGUAGUAACUGUUCACGUUUCGACGAUAUCUAACCAGACAGCCGCGGCUAACUACGUGCCAGCAGCCGCGGUAAUACGUAGGUGGCAAGCGUUGUCCGGAUUUAUUGGGCGUAAAGGGAACGCAGGCGGGCUUUUAAGUCUGAUGUGAAAGCCUUCGGCUUAACCUGUUUAGUGCAUUGGAAACUGGUAGACUUGAGUGAAGAAGAGGUGAGCGGAAUUCCAGGUGUAGCGGUGAAAUGCGUAGAUAUACGGAAGAACACCAGUGGCGAAAGCGGCCAUCUGGGCUGUAACUGACGCUGAGGUUCGAAAGUGUGGGUAGCAAACAGGAUUAGAUACCCGUGUAGUC